CGUCUAUAUACGUAUAGCAUAUCAAUAAGCGGAGGAAAAGAAACUAACUAGGAUUCCCUUAGUAACGGCGAGUGAAGCGGGAAGAGCUCAAAUUUGAAAUCUUCAAGGUUCUACCUUGACGAAUUGUAGUUUAAAGAAGUGUUUUCUGUUGGAUGUUUUGGUAAAAGUUCUUUGGAAUAGGACAUCAUAGAGGGUGAGAAUCCCGUAUUUGACCAUUACUUUCCAGCGUUGUGAUACACUUUCAAAGAGUCGGAUUGUUUGGGAAUGCAGUCCAAAAUGGGUGGUAAAUUUCAUCUAAAGCUAAAUAUUGGCGAGAGACCGAUAGCGAACAAGUACCGUGAGGGAAAGAUGAAAAGAACUUUGAAAAGAGAGUUAAACAGUACGUGAAAUUGUCAAAAGGGAAGCGUUUGACACCAGUGUUGUUUUCUCGAAAAUCAAUUAAAAAAAGAUUGGAUUUUGUGUUGUAUUGACUCUUAUCAGCUUUCUGCACUCUUUUCCUGUCUUUUUUAAUGCACUUUUCGUUUAACAAGUCAACAUCAAUUUUCUUUUGUUGUAAAAGGGUCAUUGGAAGGUGGCUUUCUCUUCGGAGAAAGUGUUUAUAGCCUUUGAGCCUCUGCAAUCGGAGAGACUGAGGUCUGCAGCGUAGAUCCUUCGGGGUUAGAUACAUUUGUGCUAAGCUACAGCUUUUCAUAGACAACUUGUUGACUAUGUUUAGUCUUGUAGACUUACUCCGCUGAUGCUAUUUUACCUACGCUUAGGAUGUUGACUGAUAUGUAGUCGU
rnacentral:rRNA from 1 species